GGAGUUGUGGCUCAGUGCUACAGCACUUGCCUCUCAUGCAUGAGGCACUGGGUUUGAUCCCCAACACCA
rnacentral:tRNA from 1 species